rnacentral:rRNA from 1 species
GAUGAACGCUGGCGGCGUGCCUAAUACAUGCAAGUCGAGCGAAUGGAUUGAGAGCUUGCUCUUAUGAAGUUAGCGGCGGACGGGUGAGUAACACGUGGGUAACCUGCCCAUAAGACUGGGAUAACUCCGGGAAACCGGGGCUAAUACCGGAUAACAUUUUGAACCGCAUGGUUCGAAAUUGAAAGGCGGCUUCGGCUGUCACUUAUGGAUGGACCCGCGUCGCAUUAGCUAGUUGGUGAGGUAACGGCUCACCAAGGCAACGAUGCGUAGCCGACCUGAGAGGGUGAUGGGCCACACUGGGACUGAGACACUGCCCAGACUCCUACGGGAGGCAGGAGUAGGGAAUCUUCCGCAAUGGACGAAAGUCUGACGGAGCAACGCCGCGUGAGUGAUGAAGGCUUUCGGGUCGUAAAACUCUGUUGUUAGGGAAGAACAAGUGCUAGUUGAAUAAGCUGGCACCUUGACGGUACCUAACCAGAAAGCCACGGCUAACUACGUGCCAGCCGCCGCCGUAA